ACAAAGAGAAACUUAGAGGUGGCAAGCUUCUCUGUACCGAGACUGUAGAACCAGCUGCCGUUGCACAUCAGGAAGGCCUCUUCACUUGCUGCUUUAAAAUCAUCUCUUAAAACAACUUUUUCUCUUUGAUUUUUAAUGGUUUAUUAAUAAAGUGGAGCUUCAAUCUCUCUAUGAAACCAACAUCCUACGGGGCUUCCUUCAUACGUCGGCUCUGAGCUGCAGCA